UGGGGUAGUAUAUUAGUCAAGCACUUCCCUCUUGCUGCAAUUAGUCAAUACCCCAACUUUGCAUACAUCUGUAAGAAAUUUACUUCCUCCUCCCCCUCGCCUUGGGAAGCCUUCCCUUUGUCUCCUGAAUCAGGGAAAGGAUAUGACUGUCAGAUCACUGGCAGUAAUUCGCAGGAUAUAGUCUCAACAAGUCAGAGGAAACACUAAAUACCCCACCAAAGAGACAAUUAAGAGUUAGACAGUAAAGAAUACUGCAUUGUGCAGAAAGCCACUCCAACUUACUUCUGUGCGAUUUAUUUUUAUUUUAUUAAAGCCAAGCUCUAGGGAGGUGCAACUCCUCUUUAGGUGCUGGACAGGCCACUCUCACUUCCAUGACACAACCGAUUUUGUAGACUGGAAACCUCGUUAUUAAGUGGCCUCCCAGCAGCUACAUGUUGGCAACAGACUGCUCAGUAGUUUGGGUGAUCAAUCAGAUGCAGGUUCUCAGCUGCAGAUGUAUUUACAGUCACCGCAGGGGGGUAAGAGGGAGGGGUGGAAAAAAACCCUUCAUCCACAAGUAAAUACUGAAAGACAGCAGUCAAGUAGAGGGUACAAAGUACUCUGUGAUGGUGGCUUCUCUACGGUCCCCACCGCACUCUGGAUUACAUAGCUAGUUUGAGUUGUAUUUCAUUAAACUUCUGCACAAACAGAGAUGACAUUUCCUUCCUGAGAUCAGCCUGAUGAAAAUCUCCAUGGAAGAUGAAUAAUACACUGAAGGAUGCUGCUACCCAUGUCAUCCAGGCCAAAGGUGUAUGAAUAAGAAAAAUCUCCGCCUACCCACAUCUACUAAAAGGGGUUACAUAGGAGAGUCUGAAGAGGAGAGAAGAAAGGAAUGCCCUUACUUUUCAGGGAACCCAGGGGACUGGAGCCUUUUACAAAGAUGUACAAAAAAAGAAGGUGACAAGAAUUACUUAAGAUAUUGUUCAAAGAGCAAAAGGGCUCCCUAAGAGGAGUGAAGCAUGUUAUACCCAGACGCCUGCAGCAG
rnacentral:lncRNA from 1 species